CAGCUAGAAGGCCUUAUUUAUAAAUCAGAAAUUGGGUUCUCACCAGAUACUGAAUCUGCCAGCUCCUUGAUCUUGGACUUCCCAGCUUCCAGAACUAUGAGAUAACAGACUAAGGGGAUGCAGCAAUAAGGCGCCAUCUUGGAAGGAGACAGCAGCCCUCACCAGACACCAAUCCUGCUGGUGCCUGAAUCUUAGACUUAUCAGCUUCGAGAAUUGUGAGAAAUAAAUUUCUGUUGUUUAUAAAUUAUUCAGUGUAGCAGCACAAAUGGACUAAGACAGCCCAGAAAUUGCUGCAUGAUGCUGUAACGUCAAGUUUGCUAAGUGAUGAAUCCCUUUAGGCUUCCUUGCCUUGGGAAUUUUUGCAGGAAGGACAGAAAGAAGAAGCCAUCUGAUCAACAGCUCUUCUUGCCUCCUGUGAAAGCCCUCAUUGCACUGAAGAGAAUUUCCCAGGUGUCCCAGAGUGGGAGGAUGGUGAGUGAAGGCUUUUGGGGGUCUAGGAGAGAGGAGGGAGCAGCUAAUUUCCUAAACUGGGAAGGGAUCAGAGAGAGAGAUCUGUGAGUCCUGCAGGCAGUAAGGAUCCGUCCCCUGUUCUGUAGGCUGUGGGGAGGCAGUGGCAUCAUAGAGAGGACAACCCUGGGGUGCCAGGAGGUACCGGAGUUCCCAACCUUGGCAAAGAUUCUAAUAUCUGUCCGUUCUGCUACAGUGAUCACAUACAUUUCCAGGACACUAGUAUGACUCUCCGAAGGGAGACCACCAAUAAUGCCUGAGACAGAAUUUUUCACUAAUCCACUGGAAAGGGAAAUGGAGUUGGAAUAAAGUUACUUAAACAUAAUAAAGAAUAUAGCACCUUUGCCAUAACCCAGCAGUUUCGCUCCUAUGUAUCUGCCCAAGAGAAAAGAAAAUACAUAUUCAGAAAAAGACAUGUACAAGAAUGUAUGUUACAGAUUUGUCUAUAAUAGCUCCAGAUUAAAAAUAGCCCAGAUGUCCAUAAAUAGGAGAACAGAUAAACAAAUUGUGAUAUAUUCAUACAGUGGAAUGUUACAGAGCAAUGAAAAAAAACCCUGUGAAAACACAAGAUGGGUGAAUUUCAGAAAUAUGCUGAAUGAAAGAAGCCAGACAAGAGUACAUACUAUAUAAUUUCAAUGAUAUGAUGGUCUAGAAAAGACCAAUCUAAUCUAUAAUGCCAGAAAGCAGAUGAGUGGUUGCCUUGGCUGUGGGUUAGGAAGCACCAUGGUGGAAAUUUUUUGGGUAUUGUAAAUGUUGAACAUUUUGAUUGUGGG
rnacentral:lncRNA from 1 species